rnacentral:tRNA from 1 species
UGCGGAUUGGUGUAAUAGUAACAUAUUUGACUCAUGACCAAAAGUUCAAGGUGCAACCCCUUGGUCCGCAC